GAUGAACGCUGGCGGCGUGCCUAAUACAUGCAAGUCGAGCGAACAGACGAGGAGCUUGCUCCUCUGACGUUAGCGGCGGACGGGUGAGUAACACGUGGAUAACCUACCUAUAAGACUGGGAUAACUUCGGGAAACCGGAGCUAAUACCGGAUAAUAUAUUUAACCGCAUGGUUCAAUAGUGAAAGACGGUUUUGCUGUCACUUAUAGAUGGAUCCGCGCCGCAUUAGCUAGUUGGUAAGGUAACGGCUUACCAAGGCAACGAUGCGUAGCCGACCUGAGAGGGUGAUCGACCACACUGGAACUGGGACACGGUCCAGACUCCUACGGGAGGCAGCAGUAGGGAAUCUUCCGCAAUGGGCGAAAGCCUGACGGAGCAACGCCGCGUGAGUGAUGAAGGUCUUCGGAUCGUAAAACUCUGUUAUUAGGGAAGAACAAAUGUGUAAGUAACUAUGCACGUCUUGACGGUACCUAAUCAGAAAGCCACGGCUAACUACGUG
rnacentral:rRNA from 1 species